rnacentral:rRNA from 1 species
GAAUUUAAGCAUAUUAUUAAGCGGUGGAAAAGAAACUAACUAGGAUUCCCUUAGUAGCGGCGAGCGAAGCGGGAAGAGACCAAGAUGAAAAGCCUUUCGGGGCAUUGUAGUCUGGGCAAUCUUGAGUCAUCAGUUUGGGUAAGUCGCAUGGAAUUGCGUACCGUGGAGGGUGAGAGUCCCGUCCAGCCUAAAACAGGAUGUUCUCGUACUAGAUUGUUUCAACCGAGUCGGGUAGCUUGAGAAUGCUGCUCUAACUGGUGGUAAACUUCAUCAAAGUCUAAAUACUGGUGGAAGACCGAUAGUGAACAAGUACCGUGAGGGAAAGAUGGAAAGCACUUUGAAAAGAGGGUGAAAAGCACCUGAAACCGUCACGGGGGAAGCGGAUUGCGUAAGUGUGGUGUGGUGUCUGUUCAGCUGCCUGUUUAUUGUUCAGCAGUGUAUUCAGCACUAGCCGUGUCAGAGUGGCUGCUCGACUUCAGAUUUCUUUUGAUUGUGAAGUUUUGGGUGGUGAGGGCUCCCAUUUACUUGGUUGAGGACUUUGACGAAAUGACGCGAUUCGACCCGUCUUGAAACACGGACCAAGGAGUCUAGCACAACUGCGAGUCGAAGGGUGUGGAAACCCAUCGGGCGAAGUGAAAGCGAAAUCAUGUGAACUAUUUACAAAACAGAUCUUGAAAAAGAGUACAGAUUGGGGAGGUGUGGCGUCUUUGACAAUAUAUCCUACCCUGAGCAGUUGUGCUGGGACCCGAAAGAUGGUGAACUAUGCCGGAAUAGGGCAAAGCCAGAGGAAACUCUGGUGGAGGCUCGUAGCGAUGCUGACGUGCAAAUCGCUCGUCGAAUUUGGGUAUAGGGGCGAAAGACUAAUCGAACCAUCUAGUAGCUGGUUCCCUCCGAAGUUUCUCUCAGGAUAGCGGACCGAAAAAUCUUUUUGAUCAAUUUAAUAUUGAACUUCGAAUUGUUGUUUUGUGUGGUAAAGCGAAUGAUUAGCGUAUUUGGGGGCGUAAUGCCUUCAGUCGAUUCUCAAACUUUAAAUACGCAAGAAAGAGGCUGGUUGCUUGAGUGAACCCCUCUCUGAAAACUUCGGUCUUGUGGGCCACUUUUGGUAAGCAGAACUGGCGAUACGGGAUGAACCGUAAGCGUGGUUAAGGCGUCAAAUUGUUCGCUUAGAGACCCCACAAAAGGUGUUGAUUCAUCUAGACAGCAGGACGGUGGCCAUGGAAGUCGGAAUCCGCUAAGGAGUGUGUAACAACUCACCUGCCGAAUGAAUUAGGCCCGAAAAAUGGAUGACGCUGAAGCGUACAGCCGACACCGCGCCGUUUGGGCAAAAAGCGACCCUAAUGAGUAGGAGGGCGUGGCGGUCUUGUGAAAAAGGUCGAGACGCGAGUCUGACUGGAACGGCCGCUAGUGCAGAUCUUGGUGGUAGUAGCAAAUAUUCAAGCGAGACCCUUGAAGGGCGAAGCGGGGAAGGGUUCCACGCGAACAUUGAUUGGGCGUGGGUGAGUCGUUCCUAAGCCGGGUGGUAAUCGUUCUUCGAAGCGGCGAAAGGGAAGCGGGUUAAAAUUCCUGCACACGGAUGUGGAGGCGGCAACGCAAAUUGAGUUGGAGACAUCAGCGGUAGCGCUAGGCAGAGUUUUCUUUUCUGUUUGACCUGUGAGUUGCACUGUGUGGAAUCCGAUUAUCGGGAGAAACACGCGCCGAAGGGCAGAGCGUCGGGGCUUUCCCGGCGUCUAGCACGCUACCGAGGGUCCUUGAAAAUCCAACUGCAAUAUAUUAAUUUCACGCCGUGGCGUACCGAUAACCGCAUCAGGUCCCCAAGGUGAACAGCCUCUGCUCAAUAUGAACAAUGCAGGUAAGGGAAGUCGGCAAAAUAGACCCGUAACUUUGGGAAAAGGGUUGGCUCUAGUGGAGUGGGGGACUUGGGAUUUCUGAGAUGAACUCUGUUUGUUUCGGACUUUCUGAAUUAAUUGGGUGUUGGUGUUCUGAGCUAUCGCAGGUCCGGAUGUGGCUAGUCUGUGUAAAAACGGUAUUGGCUGUGUCUGACUCGCUUUGGGUUCUGGGAUGCCAGUGUCCGCCUUCAGCAUGCUCCAGACUAGAACUGCAACGGGCAAAGGGAAUCCGACUGUUUAAUUAAAACAAAGCAUUGCGAUGGCCGAGGUCGGUGUAGACGCAAUGUGAUUUCUGCUCAGUGCUCUGAAUGUCAAAGUGAAGAAAUUCAAACAAGCGCGGGUAAACAGCGGGAGUAACUAUGACUCUCUUAAGGUAGCCAAAUGCCUCGUCAUCUAAUUAGUGACGCGCAUGAAUGGAUUAACGAGAUUCCUACUGUCCCUAUCUGCUUCUAGCGAAACCACAGCCGAGGGAACGGGCUCGGCGAAAUCGGCGGGGAAAGAAGACCCUGUUGAGCUUGACUCUAUUCUAAUUUUGUGACGCAAGUUAGGAGGUGUAGCAUAGGUGGGAGCUUUCGGGCGACAAUGAAAUACCACUACUCUUAAUCUUGUUUUACUUAUGGCGUUAGACUGCACGACCUGAAUUUGGUCUUUUUUGGCAUCAACCUGGAGUCCUGGCGUGAAUUGGCUUCAAUUUUCUUUUUGGGCUGGUUUUGCGUCGCCGGGGAGCAGCGCGCCUGACACAUUUAGGAGGGGAGUUUGGCUGGGGCGGCACAUCUUCUACAAGACAACGAAGGUGUCCAAAGAUGAGCUCAGUGAGAACAGAAAUCUCACGUAGCGCAAAAGGGUAAAAGCUUGUUUGAUUUUGAUUUUCAGUGUGAGUUGAAAACACGAAAGUGUGGCCUAUCGAUCCUUUCAUGAUUCGAGGUUUGAAGCGAGAGGUGUCAGAAAAGUUACCACAGGGAUAACUGGCUUGUGGCGGCCAAGCGUUCAUAGCGACGUCGCUUUUUGAUCCUUCGAUGUCGG